AACGAACGCUGGCGGCAUGCCUAAUACAUGCAAGUCGAACGAGAUCUUCGGAUCUAGUGGCGCACGGGUGCGUAACGCGUGGGAAUCUGCCCUUGGGUUCGGAAUAACGUCGGGAAACUGACGCUAAUACCGGAUGAUGACGUAAGUCCAAAGAUUUAUCGCCCAAGGAUGAGCCCGCGUAGGAUUAGCUAGUUGGUAAGGUAAAGGCUUACCAAGGCGACGAUCCUUAGCUGGUCUGAGAGGAUGAUCAGCCACACUGGGACUGAGACACGGCCCAGACUCCGCCGGGAGGCAGCAGUAGGGAAUAUUGGACAAGGGGGGAAACCCGGAUCCAGCAAUGCCGCGUGAGCGAGGAAGGCCUUAGGGUUGUAAAGCUCUUUUACCCGGGAUGAUAAGAACAGUACCGGGAGAAUAAGCCCCGGCUAACUCCGUGCCAGCCGCCGCCGUAA
rnacentral:rRNA from 1 species